UUUAACCUCACGGUUAUUGUGACCAAAAUUAUCACGGUUUUCGGUAUUAUCGCUGUAUUUUUUUGAAACAUGUUAAAUUUUCAGGAAACUAAAACCCUGUAUAUCAGGAAAUAUUGUCCUCAGUUUGUGUCUAAAUUUUGCCUACAAUUUGUUAUUUUGUAAUUGUUGUUUAUUUGUUUACAUUUUCCCCUUUAGUCUUUAAAAUACCAAUAUUUGCCCAUAACUUCUUAUUUUUUGUCUGUUUGAUGUCAUCAUUUUAAAAAUAUUAGACCAGAUGAUACUCAAGUAGCCUUCUAAUCAGAUACUUUUUACCCUUACUUGAGUAAUAAACCCUAUAUCAGGAAAAUAUUGUCCUCGGUUUGUGUCCUUCCAGUGAGCUUUGCAGAUGUGGGAAAAUGUCAUCAGGCAGUAAUCUUUGUUAAAUUCAUAAUUAUUCUCAGAGAGAGACCAACUCUUAUCUGCCCCUGGGAGCCCCGUAAUGCAUAGCGUCAUUUCAACAUGGGGGGUGUCCGUGACACGGUUUAUAUGCAGGUAGCUGCACUGUGGCUGCUUUAUAUAGCGACUCGUUGCUUUCUCUCUCAACCCAAAUCCUCGGAUCACGCAUUUUAGCCAAAACGCUAACGCUAACUUGCCUUGAGUUGACUGUAAAGUUGUGGGUGAUGGUCACGCAGAUGUGUCAUGAGAUUUGAAGCGUUGCUGCCUUUCACACUUUUUCGUGCACGUGCUGCAAACAGGAUAGCCAUCUUCUAUCAGCUGUCCCUCGGCAUUCUUCAAAUAUCAAAAAAUAUGCCCAUACUUCCGACUUUGUCUUCUUUGAGGGAUAAUAAAUGUCCUGCGUGCUGCCGUCACCUCCUUUGACCAUUAUUUCAGCUUUAGCUUCAAGAAAGUUUUGGUUGUAAACAUCAAAGUGCGCAUGUGCCGCCGAUAACUUCAGCAGAUGAUACGGUGGCUGGUAAGGGUCACCGCGCCUACACUGCAGCCACGGUAAUCCACCGAGAUAAUAUAGUUUUUUAAAAAACAAGACGGUUAUUAUUAUUGUCUACUCUUUUACCGGGGUUUACCGCUACACCGGUUACCGUGAGAACCCUAAUUUAUAUAUAUAUAUAUAUAUAUAUAUAUAUAUAUAUAUGUAUAGUAUUUUUUUCUCUCUCUCUCUCUCUUACCGCCAGGAAAGAUGUGCAACUUAUUGGAAGUUCUAUAUCAACUUGAGGUGAGUUCUUUGCAUAAUUUCUUCAGAGCAUUUGAUAAUUAGAUCAUCCACCAAUGAUGUUUACCUUACACCACCCACUGUGUUUUUCCUCAGUUAUCCAUGCAUGUGGAAAUGUAAAGACUGUAAUUAUUCAUGUUCAAGAAGAUCUGAACUUCUAAAAUAUUACAAACUUGAUCAUCAACACUAUGGGCUUAUCCUUGCACGUAUGAGCACUGCCCAUUCACAUGCAAAACAUGGAAAGCUGUUGGACUGAAGAGGUUUUGUAAAAGAGAUUAAAUUAAUAAUGUUAUUUAUACAUUUAAAAAGCUGAUCUUCAAGCAGUGUGAUCAAAUGUGUAUUUUGUAUUUUUAUUUUUGGUCUGUGAGUGUGCUUGUUAUUUUACAGUCCCUGCGAGUUACAACAGUUCAGUUGGAGGCAAUGUUUUUGGCACCGCUGGACAAACAUUCUGCCAAACUGCUACAGGUCAUUAGGAACAAGGGAGGACGUGUGAAAGAGCAGACCACUAGGACCUUGAAAGUUUUAGAUGAGACUGUUGACAUCACCAUGAAAAGAGAGGCUGUAUUCAAAUCUCAGAUCAACCUGGGUGAACCUGUUGAGAACCUUGUUAAAGAAUGCCAGGAUGUGCAGGAGAAUAUCCAACACCAACUGGAAACGAUGGCAAUAUUCGUCAUCAGGAGAGAGGAUCCUUUCCAUCCACUGAAAGACAAAACGAUAGUCAUCGAUGGAGCACAGGUCCUGACAGAUGUGCCUUCUGUCGCAACAGCUGUUGCCAUGUUCUUUGGACUGAUAUACGCCCUCACCUUAAAGUAUCCAAAACAUCUGCAGUACACUCUGGAAUGCAU